rnacentral:lncRNA from 1 species
UUCGACUUUUGCUCAAUCCUUCAAAAUGAGGUUCUGAAUUUUUCUUGCUCAUAGUACGAAUUGUAUCCUGCAUGCACAAGAAAACAAAACCCUAUAAAGCAAUUGUUAGAACAAAACAAAAAAAAAAUAAAAAAAUCAAGUCGAAGUUAAUCAAUAAUCACACGAAUAGAAUAGUUAAACCACGAGUCCCCGACAAUGGCGCCAAAAACUUGUUAAGACUCCGACAAGUGUACCAAAUCGUAUCAAGUAAUAUAAAUGGUAAGACCAAGUAUCGUUUUCCGUAGAGACUCGUUGGCCUAGAUAGUCAUGUGAUGUGUUGAUUAUUUAAGACUUGAGAACAAAAAUCAUUGUGUUUAUAAAUUAGAAAAUUAAAUAUGCAUGCAAGUCCUGAUUAAUUGACCAAACGAGUACACAUGUGAAUGAUAUAUGGAUGAAUUAUAUUGUUGGGGUUUCCGACUCAUCCU